rnacentral:rRNA from 1 species
CCUACGGGCGGCAGCAGUGAGGAAUAUUGGUCAAUGGGCGCGAGCCUGAACCAGCCAAGUAGCGUGAAGGAUGACUGCCCUACGGGUUGUAAACUUCUUUUAUAAAGGAAUAAAGUGAGGCAUGUGUGCCUUUUAGUAUGUACCUUAUGAAUAAGGAGCGGCUAACUCCGUGCCAGCAGCCGCGGUAAUACGGAGGAUGCGAGCGUUAACCGGAUUUAUUGGGUUUAAAGGGGGCGUAGGCGGGCUUUUAAGUCAGCGGUAAAAAUUCGGGGCUAAACCCCGUCCGGUUGUUGAAACUGGGGGCCUUGAGUGGGCGAGAGGAAGGCGGAAUGCGUGGUGUAGCGGUGAAAUGCAUAGAUAUCACGCAGAACCCCGAUUGCGAAGGCAGCCUUCCGGCGCCCUACUGACGGUGAGGCACGAAAGUGCGGGGAUCGAACAGGAUUAGAUACCCUGGUAGUC